rnacentral:tRNA from 1 species
AGCUUUAUAGUCAUGAUAUGAUAUUAAAUUGCAAAUUUAAAGGAGAAUAUUAAAUUUUGAAGCUU